UCGCCCCGCCCUCCGCUGCCGCUCAGCUUGACGUGAAUCGCCAUUGGUAUCGAGUGAAUACGGCGGCGGCGUGCGUGAGGACAAGCUAGGGGAGUUCCGGCGCAGGCCCAGAACCUGAUAGACUCUUUGGUUGAAGCCAAGUCUAAAAUUGUCGUUAAGGUCAAAUAUAUCCCACUUGAGCUACAACACCAAUCGUAGUUAAGAUGACUGUGACCAUAUAAUGGAGGGAGCUUGUCAAAUUUCAACUAAAUAUUAAGCCUGAUAUCAAAGACUUGGAAAUGCUUCUCGAAUCUUCGUCCAGGCUGGUGGCACACUGAACAAGUUAUGCCAUUACUUUUGCAUGCAGUAAUCUUGUUCGUGCCUUUGGAAGCAACGAGAUUUGUCCAGACUGAAACAAAUGCAGCAAGGAACAUAUUUGCUAGAGGGAAACAUGUGCACUGCAGUUCUGUUGAGCGAGAUUAAGUCGGGUGCACAUUUGUUUGGGGAAUCUUAUGGGAAGUAGCGAAACUAUGAUUUGGCCGUGGAGGCGUCACCUAACAAUUGUGCUUUACAGGAGUUGGCGAUGGAAAUAGCUGGGGUGUCAUUAUUCUUGCUUGAUCUGGGCGUAUCACUGUUGACCUGCUGGAAGAGGUGUGCUAGGAGUACAACAUACAAGCUGACGUCGGUAUCGCGACAUCAUCAGGGAGGUCGGCAAUGAGAACAUGCGAUGUUCAAAUUGACUAUGGGAUGUUCGUGGCAAUGGUGAAGAAGGGGAUCAUCAGGAAUGGAAGUCUGACCAUCAUUCUCCAUGGAGCAGACGACCACGACUAUCCUUUGAUUGAAAUAUUCAUAUACAACACUAUAUUUGUUCGCAUUGUGCUAUAGAUCAUAUCAAUAUUUUUAAGUCAAGUCGUGUAAAAAAACUGAGGAUAACAAGUAUAGGAGAAGCUUUAAUAUUAGAGCAACAGGGGAGGAGCAAAUGAUUGAAUGGGCUAUCAGCCGUGUAAAAUAAAACUGACGGUAACGUCACCAGGUGGAAAACUAUAUUUGAUUGACAUCAUAACACUAGCAAGGUGAAUAACAAUGUAACAUUAUCUUUUCAUUAGUUGAUCCAUUCAACUUCUGGUUGAUAUGAUUGACAUGAUAUUUGGAAA